rnacentral:rRNA from 1 species
AUUGAACGCUGGCGGCAGGCCUAACACAUGCAAGUCGAACGAGUGGCGGACGGGUGAGUAAUGUCUGGGAAACUGCCCGAUGGAGGGGGAUAACUACUGGAAACGGUAGCUAAUACCGCAUACCAUCUGAUUUGCCCAGAUGGGAUUAGAUAGUAGGUGGGGUAACGGCUCACCUGGGCGACGAUCCCUAGCUGGUCUGAGAGGAUGACCAGCCACACGGGAACUGAGACACGGUCAAAACUCCUACGGGAGGCAGCAGGGGGGAAUAUUGCACAAUGGGCGAAAGCCUGAUGCAGCAAGGCCGCGUGGAUGAAGAGGUCCUUCGGGUUGUAAAGUACUUUCAGCGAGGAGGCGUUACUCGCAGAAGAAGCACCGGCUAACUCCGUGCCAGCAGCCGCGGUAAUUC